AAUCUUAGUAGUUUCUUAACCACAAAACAAAUGGUUUUCUAAUUCUGAUAUCUUGUUCUUAGAUCGGCUAGUAUGAUUAUGGAUGAAGUUUCCCCAGGAAUUCAACGAGAUGGCAGACUCAGCUUAGGAUCUACCUUCUCUGUGGCACCUAAAAGAUCCUCUUCAGUGGUCUCUUCCCAGAGAUGUUUUUUACCAAAGAAGGAAAGGUUCUCAAGACCAGAAUUUAUCCAGUUGUCUGGAGAGGCACCAGUGACAUUACAUCUACCUGGAUCUAUUGUG